CUGGCAUUUUCACCAUUUUCUCAUGAGAAAAGCAGCCUGUCAGUGUUCUGCUGAGUGCACUUAAUGGUGCUGUGCUCCAGAUCCCCCUUUGUGCCCCACGGCUGGGACAAACCAACCCAUGUUUAUCACUUACCACAGUCCUGCUGUGAACUGACAGCUCAUGAGCAGCCACAAUCAAGUGCCAGGCAUGGCUAGCAAGAAGAGCUGUCCUUGCUGUUUGCAGACUAAGAUGGUGGCAGGGGAGACCCAAGAGAAGGAGUGCAAUUUUCCUGCUUUGCUCAGGAAAUCUGCGAGAGGAGGCUGGACACUGCACAUGGCACAGAAUGGCAUAUCUCUGGAAUGCAGGAGGGUCUACCUGAAUCAGGAGUGCAGAAAUGCUGCUGUGCCAUCUCAAUAUCCUUCCAGCAGAAAGUUUUGGCAUUCUGGUGUAUUGAAAGCAAGACUUGAGACUCCAAUUUGUUCUCAGCUUGUCAGAAACCUCUCUGAAUCAUGGAGAAAUGAAUCAGUAGAAGCCUCACUAAUGCCAGAUGUUGCCAUUAAAUCAUUUCCUCCUCCUACUCGAUGUUUCCUAGAUUUGGCACCCGAGGUCCAAGUUAACCCAUUUAGAAGGCUGAGGUGUGACACUUGAGAUAACCUUGCUGGAGUUAGGCAGACACUGGAUUCAGCUAGAAGCAGAUGCAAACCUACAGAAAAAAAAAUGUUGCAAGAGGAGAAGGAAACCUUGCAGGCCUUGGUUAUUUAUCUGAGAAAAUGGGGAUGGAAGGAACAACUGACUACUGAGCAACUGAUUUAGUGCAGGAGGAGCCUCCAGGCCAAGCUGUGCUGCUGGUGCUGGAGCAGAGGGGCUGCACCAGGAGAAAUUCUGAGUGAGGAAGAGGCAGAGAGCUCAGCAAAUGCUGCCUUUGUGUGAGCUCCUCACAGCACAGGAGACACGUGGUCCGGUGGAGGUGAACAUGAAUAAGGAAUUUUCUGUGGCGAGAGUGCAUUUCAAAACCUCAAGGUCUGUUGGGAAGGAUGAAAAUUUGACAAGACAGUCUCACAGAUAUGUAUGUUUCGCGGAAAGAUUUUUGAAUGUAGAAUAUGAAGAAGGAAUGGAAAAUGAAAGCAAGUUUUGCUAUAGAAGAAAAGAAUUGCUGAGCCAGUCUUACUGAAUAACCAAGGAGGCAAAGGGGAUGUUAGUUAGAAGGGGUUUUUAUGGCUUAGAGCAAAGGAUGAACCCACCCCAAACAAGAAGAUGUUUUUACCAAGCAGAAAGAUAGCACAGGCAAACAAGUCAGCAAAUGUUGCAAGUAGAAAAAAGGUCUCAGAAUUUUCCACUGCAAGAAAACUGAAAAACAACUUCUAGCUUAAACUGUAAUGUACUAACUUUUAGUGAUUGGAGAAUAGUAACAUGAAUAUGGUAAUUACAGUGGUUAUGAUAGGCUAGAGAUAAAAGCUAAGGUAUAGAUUGGUUCUACUGUAUGAAGAUGCUCAGCAAAGAAAAGUGUAUAAUGCAUUUGUAACCUAAACUAAGAGUGCAGCUGUAGCUGACAGCUGUAGGCACAGCUCUGUCACCCAUGACCCUGGAGUGCUG
ensembl:lncRNA